rnacentral:rRNA from 1 species
AGGCUUUGAUCCUGGCUCAGGACGAACGCUGGCGGCGUGCUUAACACAUGCAAGUCGAACGAAGCUAUUUGGUUAGCUUGCUAACUGGAUAGACUUAGUGGCGGACGGGUGAGUAACACGUGGGUAACCUACCUGGAAGACUGGGAUAACAGCUCGAAAGGGCUGCUAAUACCGGAUAAAGUGCCUUUGGAAUAAUUUAUGGGCACCAAAGCGUUAUGUAGUGCUUUCAGAUGGGCCCGCGGCCCAUUAGCUAGUUGGUGGGGUAAAGGCCUACCAAGGCGAUGAUGGGUAGCUGGUCUGAGAGGAUGGACAGCCACACUGGGACUGAGAACGGCCCAGACUCCUACGGGAGGCAGCAGUGGGGAAUUUUGCGCAAUGGGGGCAACCCUGACGCAGCGACGUCGUGUGAGUGAAGAAGGCUUUCGGGUUGUAAAGCUCUGUCUACGGGGAAGAUGAUGACGGUACCUGUGGAGGAAGCCCCGGCGUA